rnacentral:rRNA from 1 species
UACGUAGGGUGCGAGCGUUAAUCGGAAUUACUGGGCGUAAAGCGUGCGCAGGCGGUUCGUUAAGUUCGUUGUGAAAGCCCCGGGCUCAACCUGGGAACUGCAAUGGAAACUGGCGGGCUUGAGUGUGGCAGAGGGGGGUGGAAUUCCGCGUGUAGCAGUGAAAUGCGUAGAUAUGCGGAGGAACACCGAUGGCGAAGGCAAUCCCCUGGGCCUGCACUGACGCUCAUGCACGAAAGCGUGGGGAGCAAACAGG